rnacentral:rRNA from 1 species
UACGUAGGUGGCAAGCGUUGUCCGGAAUUACUGGGCGUAAAGCGAGUGUAGGCGGUUUGGUAAGUCGGAUGUGAAAGCCCCGGGCUCAACCCGGGAAGUGCACUCGAUACUGCCAAGCUAGAGUAUCGGAGAGGUUGGUGGAAUUCUCGGUGUAGAGGUGAAAUUCGUAGAUAUCGAGAGGAACACCGGUGGCGAAGGCGGCCAACUGGACGAAUACUGACGCUGAGACUCGAAAGCGUGGGGAGCAAACAGG